rnacentral:rRNA from 1 species
CCUACGGGAGGCAGCAGUGGGGAAUAUUGCACAAUGGGGGAAACCCUGAUGCAGCGACGCCGCGUGAGUGAAGAAGCGCCUCGGCGCGUAAAGCUCUGUCAGCAGGAACGACGAUGACGGUACCUGAAGAAGAAGCUCCGGCUAACUACGUGCCAGCAGCCGCGGUAAUACGUAGGGGGCAAGCGUUGUCCGGAAUUACUGGGUGUAAAGGGAGCGUAGGCGGGGAUGCAAGUUGGGUGUUAAAUCUACCGGCUCAACUGGUAGUCGCACUCAAAACUGCAGCUCUUGCGUGAAGUAGAGGCAGGCGGAAGUCGUAGUGUAGCGGUGAAAUGCGUAGAUAUUAGGAGGAACACCAGUGGCGAAGGCGGCCUGCUGGGCUUUUACUGACGCUGAGGCUCGAAAGUGUGGGGAGCAAACAGGAUUAGAUACCCUUGUAGUC